GCCAGUCCAAGUCCAUCAACUAUUCCAUGUGGAGUACAAUCUUACAGGCAUUAGGAGUCCUUGAGCAUUCAAAAGACCAUCUUCAAGAUGCUUUGUGACCAUCUCUUCAGGAUGGGCAGUUUUGUGGGCGGUCUUAUUUAUGUGCCUUAUGGGUGUAACGAGCCGACUACCAGCGCCGGAUUUUUUCAUUAAGCUGUGUGUGACUGUAGAAAUGGAGUUGUCACGCAGUAGAACACGGGAAUAGAGCAGCAGCGACACUGACUCCAUUAAUGACGACUUCGACGAGACGGAGCCGUGUUGGAUGCCGUAUUCGCC